UUAGGAGUUACAAAAUUGAUUAUUUGUAUAAAUGGGGUAAUAAAAUGGAGAAAAGUGAAAAAUGUUAGGAAAAGGGAGGUGGCCGGCCUCUUAGUAGUUUUAGGUGUGAAUGGGUGUUUUAAUUGAUAAUUAAGGGAUUGAUUAGGUAAUUAAUCCCUUAAUUAAUCAAUUUUUAGGGAAUAUGAAAGGAAAAUAUCAUUUAGCUAAUUGAUUAGCUAAAUAAUGGAAUACAAAAUAUAAUAGAAUAAAUUAGGUUUUAGGAAUUACCUUAUAGAAAGGAUUUGAUGAAAUAGGCUUUAAAUUGUUACCGAUUUUGGGCACUUUUGACUUGGUUUAGGGAUGAUUGUCCGCUGCUCGCGCGUAGGAAUCCUAGUAUGCCUCAAGGGUAUUUUUGUCCUUUUUUACUCAAGAAUCCACGUGUCGCCUUGUGAUUAUUUUUGGCUCCACAAAUACCCCCACACACGUUGAGCUGCUCGUAGGAAAGGGCAGCAGGUGUAGAGAUCAUCUUGCUUUAGGAAACGUGGGACUGCUUCCUAUUUUAAUGUAGAUUCUCUCUUUAAUAGGAAAUUAGAUCCUUCUAGGAAAGGGAAAUAAAUUUCUCUCAAAGCCUAUUUAAGUCCACCUUAAGUGGGUUAUUAAAUCAAUUUUGGAGAACGAUUUAUUCUACCCUACAAGAGAGAGAUAGCUUAGAGGAUAUUUGUUCCCCCUCCUCUAGCAAUUUUCUACAUCUUGCCCGUGCAAAGGACCGUCUUUCAUUGCUUUCUUCGUCUUCUUCAUACCGCACUGAGGUAAGAAAAAAUUAAUUUUCCUUGUCUUCUUCUUGGAUGGUGCUACCUCGG
rnacentral:lncRNA from 1 species